rnacentral:lncRNA from 10 species
CUUAGUUUUAUUGCUGCCUUCCAGAGGCAGCUUCCUGAACAAAUACUUGAGGUCCUCUGUAGGCUUCCCGGAGUAGACUGUUUCCUCUGAAAAGGCCUGUUCAUCAGGAGAAGCAAAAGGUUUUAUUCUAGAGACAUGGACUCAAGUCGGAAGUCCUUCCAACGUUAUGACUGUUGGAGUGGACAAGAUAACCUGGGAGUGGUUACCUGGAGCCCUGGUGUCUUUGGAAGGACCAGAUACCCCAUAGCUUUUCUGCAGAAGCAGAAAGAGGCUGCAAGGAGGACGAGUCACUCAAGCUGAAAUGGCCUGUACAGAGUAUUUGGUCCAGCUCUUCAUGCUUCCAGUAGGGAAACAGACCCAAGAGGUGGCCAACUGAAGGUCCUUAGAUGUAAAUACCAAGACCUGCACUAGAACCUGCACAAGACCUGACUCUUUUGCCCAGUGAGUCAUCCCAUAUUUGGAAUUUGAAAUGUCUGCUUCAAUACACUGCUAUGUAUUACCGUUACUUUCAUUGAAAUACCCUGAUAUUGGCAAAUAAGCCCAAGGCAAGAAUUUACUUGCUGAUUAUUUUUGCAAAUCUUCAGUUCAAAGCCAAUUAUUUGGCCUCCUUCAUUCCAAAGCAAUAAGGAACAAGGCCCUCUACACCUCCGUUUUCCCAUGCAAUAAUUUAAAAAAUUAGGUGAUAGUCAGUAGCUUGCUCUUUUCUCUUAGUUCUAGUCAUUAUUACUUAGAGUCACAUUGUAAAUAGUUAAUACUGAUUUUCAGUAUGUUUUAAGAGAAUAAGUGGUAUCUAUUGUAAGACAACAUUUUUUCUUUCUUUCUUUUUUUUUUUUUUUUGAGAUGGAAUCUCGCUCUGUCACCGAGGCUGGAGUGCAGUGGCGUGAUCUCGGCUCACUGAAACCUCUGCCUCCCAAGUUCAAGCGAUUCUCCUGCCUCAGCCUCCUGAGUAGCUGGGAUUAUAAGUGUGUGCCACCACACCUGGCUGAUUUUUGUAUUUUUAGUACAGACGGGGUUUCACCAUGUUGGCCAGGCUGGCCUUGAACUCCUAACCUAAGGUGAUCCACCCGCCUUGGCCUCCCAAAGUGCUGGGAUACAGGCAUGAGCUACCAUGCCUGGCCAAGACAACUUUUUUAAAGUUUUCCUUUACUAAUAAUAUCUAGACCCAACCACUGUGUACUAUCUCCUAAUAAAUAUUUUGUAAAUUUUACCCUUAAAGUUAUCAAAAAAUAAAAUAUUUUAACUUUGCCAGUCUAGGAAAACCUCAAACAACAAAACCUCUGGGUCCCUGGAUGUGAGAGUUAUUUUUUCCUUAAUUAGCUUUUAGAUAUCUGCACCUAUUUGCAGAGAGUUUUGUAUUUUUAUAAUGUUUUCAGGUAAGGUAUUUCCUCAACAUUGCCAAGGUAUUUAAUUUUAUCUUAUGCAUUGUACACAUGAGGAAACAUUGGGGCAAGGAGAGUUUAAAUAUAACAAUAAAAACAUGGGAUUUGGAGUCAGUGAGAUUCAACCCAUAGCUCCUUUAUAUUCUAGUUGUAUGAUCAUGGGAUAAUUACCCAAACUCUCCAUCCUCAGUUUUCUCAUCAAUAAGUAGGGAAAAUAAUGGUACCUGCCUCCUAGGAUUGAGUUCCAGGUGAAACGAGCUAAUGCAAGUAUGCUUGGCAAAGAUGUGCUCAAUAAGUGUUAGCCAUUAUUUCCUUGGGGAUCCUGGGAAGUUUAUACCACUUACAUUCUACGAUGCAGGAUAAAAAUGUGAAAUAUUUAUUUUGAAGCCAUGAAUAAUGUUAAAUAAAAAUGCAGAAAUGCCAAUUGUUAGUGCUGACAUACACGCACCUUCUGUGUUAAACCAACUUAAACUCAAUUUCUCCAUCAAAAAUUCCAUGCUGUGAGAAAAUUUUUUCUGUCACCCAAAUGCUUUCCUAUUUUGAAUGUAACUGGUAUGUUUUAUUAAUGCUACAUUAUUUCCCACUGAACCAUUUUUCCUCCAGAGCAUGUGAUGUCAUUUAUAGCCACUGGCACACACAUUUCUUCCAUAUUUUGUCAAUUAAGCAUGUCAUAGAAUUUAAUAUUUACAGUCUUGUAUGGUUCACUGAACUAAUUGCGGGAAAGAGAAAUAAUGACAUGGGGAACAAAAUAAGACAUUCUGCUUUCAUCAAAGAACUGGGG